GAUGAAGAACGCAGCGAAAUGCGAUACGUAAUGUGAAUUGCAGAAUUCAGUGAAUCAUCGAAUCUUUGAACGCAUAUUGCGCUCUCUGUAUUCCGGAGAGCAUGCUUGUUUGAGUAUCAGUAAACACCUCAACUCCCUUUUCUUUUUUGAAAUUGGAGCUGGACUUGAGUGAUCCCAACGCUUUCUUCCAAGAAAGUGGCGGGUUGCUUGAAAUGCAGGUGCAGCUGAACUUUUCUCUGAGCUAUAAGCAUAUCUAUUUAGUCUGCCUAAAAAACAGAUUAUUACCUUUGCUGCAGCUAACAUAAAGGAGAUUAGUUCUUGUGCUGACUGAUGCAGGAUUCACAGAGACAGCUUCGGCUGACUUUGUAAACUCGAUCUCAAAUCAAGUAAGACUACCCGCUGAACUUAAGCAUAUCAAUAAGCGGAGGA
rnacentral:misc_RNA from 1 species